rnacentral:rRNA from 1 species
UACGUAGGGUGCGAGCGUUAAUCGGAAUUACUGGGCGUAAAGUGUGCGCAGGCGGCAGAGCAAGUCGAGUGUGAAAGCCCCGGGCUUAACUUGGGAAUUGCGCUCGAAACUACUUUGCUGGAGUGUGGCAGAGGAAGGUGGAAUUCCACGUGUAGCGGUGAAAUGCGUAGAGAAUGUGGAGGAACACCAAUGGCGAAGGCAGCCUUCUGGGC